rnacentral:lncRNA from 1 species
AUGCCACCUCACCUAACAGUUAUUGGUGACACAUAGAUUGAUGAAUGUACAACUCUUGUACAAUGCUUCUCAAGCAUGUUGCAGUGUAACUUGGUCUCUAAGCCAUGAAAACCUCACCUAACAGUUAUUGGUCCCAUUUCUUAGUUAAGUCAGACCCACCGUAUAACCGUAGGAAUAAAGUCGUCAUUGGGUCCUCACCUAACAGUUAUUGGUGCCCAACCUCACCUUUACCCUACAACAUCUCAUGUCUAUAGAGAGGUCCAGCCCUCCGAUGCAACUUGACCACUGUGUCCAGCCGAGACAAAUCAACAUCAGAAAGGCCUUAGCAGCUCUACUACAGUGGAAGACCUAUUGACUUAAUAUUGGUUAAUCAGGUCUUAGUGUUUGCAACUUGAGCUCUUCAUAAGAGGUAAUCGAACAAUUGGCCAGGUAAGCAGGUGGGAGGCUCCCCUUACUCAGAGAGUAAGGUCCUAAUUAAGUAACCACCUUUCAUGCUUUCCUAAACACCAAUUAGAUCA